GAAAAAUUAAAAACUUUUACUAUGAGAGGAAGAAGGUACCACAAAUACAAAAGCAGAUCUUAAUGAAGGGGAUGAUCUCACGUGGAGAUACCUGUGGAUAUUUUUUAACACCGGAAUGAUCCACCACCAUUCUUAACAUAUUUCCAACCUUUUUUGUUUUUCUUCUGCAUCUUUGCUUCGAUGCUUUUCUUCCACACACACCUGAUACUAUUGGUUAAC
rnacentral:misc_RNA from 1 species